GAUGAAGAACGUAGCGAAAUGCGAUAAUUAAUGUGAAUUGCAGAAUUCAGUGAAUCAUCGAAUCUUUGAACGCACAUUGCGCCCCUUGGUAUUCCGAGGGGCAUGCCUGUUCGAGCGUCAUUUUGACCACUCCCGCUUGCGGGGUCUUGGGCCUUCGCCUCUGGGCGGGCCUUAAAAUCAGUGGCGGUGCCGUCCGGCUCUAAGCGUAGUAAAUCUCCUCGCUAUAGGGUUCCGGAGGGAUGCUGGCCAACAACCCCCAACUUUUAAGGUUGACCUCGGAUCAGGUAGGGAUACCCGCUGAACUUAAGCAUAUCAAUAAGCGGAGGA
rnacentral:misc_RNA from 1 species